rnacentral:rRNA from 1 species
UACGUAGGGGGCAAGCGUUAUCCGGAUUUAUUGGGCGUAAAGAGCUCGUAGGCGGCUGAUCGCGUCGGUUGUGAAAGCUCAGGCUCAACCCUGAGACGCCAAUCGAUACGGAUCAGCUAGAGGUAGGUAGGGGAAAGUGGAAUUCCUGGUGUAGCGGUGAAAUGCGCAGAUAUCAGGAAGAACACCAAUGGCGAAAGCAGCUCUCUGGGACGGUACUGACGCUGAGACGCGAAAGCGUGGGGAGCGAACAGG